AGCUGGCAGAGGACAGGAGCCGAGCGGCCCAGCAGAUGCAGUGGGCCCUGCGGUUCCUGGACAGCCCGCAGGAGUCCGUACGAGAGGCGGCCGUCAGGAUCAUCGGCAUGGCCGGGCGGUGCCUCAGGGGGAAGAGGGACGAGCUCCGGGCCCACAGUCCGGCCAUUUAAGUCCCAAGGAAAGACACUAGUCCAUCCCACGGUAACCUGGAUAUUCACACCCAAUGUGCCAGAAGAGCUGAAGAAUUAGGUGCAUCUUCAGGAUCCAGUGAACCCGUGUCCCAAGAACAGCCCCAGGAGACACUGAAGAGGACGCCAUCUCCCACUGCCACUGGAGCUCCAGGCACAGCUGAUGCUGGGCACAGCUGAGCCUGUGAGAAGCUCGGUAGCUCCUGCCUUCACCCUGCUUGUAGAUAUCUCCCUCCCACCAGCCCUGAAACCCUGGUCAUUCCCUUUCUCCCUCCCAUAUCAGCCCUUUGCUUCGCUUUUCAUUAAUAAACAGUUUGGCUUCUUCACUUUGCCUGCAUCCCUGCGGAGCUGAAGCAAAUCCCCGACCCUGGGACACACAGGCCCUGCUGCCGUUCUCUGCCACGCCGUGUUUUGUGCACGGACACAGAGGAACGAGGGCAGGUCAGGCUGGAAAUGUCCCUGUGCUGAAGGUGCAGUUCCACAGCACUGUGCAGUUACACAUCUUGCUGAGCACACUGAAGGCCAGCAGUGGGACAGGUGUGUGUCAGGGACCAAAGUCGUGUCUAAGGCCCUGCCAUAUUUGGUCCGCUGUUGUGCACAUCAACAAGAUAAUGAAUAAAACCAGGUUCAAAAA